rnacentral:sRNA from 1 species
AAAGCUUAAAAACUACGAUAAUUUAGCUGUCCGCCAGUAUACGCCAGUGACGGUCAACGUUUGCAUUGUGUUUUCAUUGAGUGAGUUUAGUUAAAUAUUUUUUUCAAUUUCGACUAUUCCAACGGGUUGUUGCUGUUAAACGAAUGCUGCUGAAGCUGUUGUUGUUGAUGAAGAUAACUGAAAGACGUUUACUAAAGUGUUGUUGUUUUCGGAGGGGAAGAGAUCAGCCGCUGAGAGUAACCUAAAAAUUUGCCAAGCAGCAUCACAACUAAAUAAACUAACUAAAAUAAAACAACAACAAAGUUAGACAACUGCUACUGCUGGUCAGUCAAGUGAGAGUGUGUCGUGUGCGCAAAGCGGUGAAAUCAAAAAAUAAUAAAAUUAAAAAA